rnacentral:rRNA from 1 species
GAUGAACGCUGGCGGCGUGCCUAAUACAUGCAAGUCGAGCGAACAGACGAGGAGCUUGCUCCUCUGACGUUAGCGGCGGACGGGUGAGUAACACGUGGAUAACCUACCUAUAAGACUGGGAUAACUUCGGGAAACCGGAGCUAAUACCGGAUAAUAUAUUGAACCGCAUGGUUCAAUAGUGAAAGACGGUUUUGCUGUCACUUUUAGAUGGAUCCGCGCCGCAUUAGCUAGUUGGUAAGGUAACGGCUUACCAAGGCAACGAUGCGUAGCCGACCUGAGAGGGUGAUCGGCCACACUGGAACUGAGACACGGUCCAGACUCCUACGGGAGGCAGCAGUAGGGAAUAUUCCGCAAUGGGCGAAAGCCUGACGGAGCAACGCCGCGUGAGUGAUGAAGGUCUUCGGAUCGUAAAACUCUGUUAUUAGGGAAGAACAAAUGUGUAAGUAACUAUGCACGUCUUGACGGUACCUAAUCAGAAAGCCACGGCUAACUACGUG